UACGUAGGGUGCAAGCGUUAAUCGGAAUUACUGGGCGUAAAGCGUGCGCAGGCGGUUUUGUAAGUCUGACGUGAAAUCCCCGGGCUCAACCUGGGAAUUGCGUUGGAGACUGCAAGGCUGGAGUCUGGCAGAGGGGGGUAGAAUUCCACGUGUAGCAGUGAAAUGCGUAGAGAUGUGGAGGAACACCGAUGGCGAAGGCAGGGUACUGGGCUAUUGCUGACACUAAGGCACGAAAGCGUGGGGAGCGAACGGG
rnacentral:rRNA from 1 species